UACAGAGGGUGCAAGCGUUAAUCGGAAUGACUGGGCGUAAAGAGUGCGCAGGCGGAUAGAUAAGUUGUAUGUGAAAGUCCCGGGCUUAACCUGGGGAUUGCGUUCAAUACUGUCUGUCUAGAAUAUGGUAGGGGGUAGUGGAAUUUCCGGAGUAGCGGUGAAAUGCGUAGAUAUCGGAAGGAACACCGGUGGCGAAGGCGGCUACCUGGACCAAUAUUGACGCUGAGGCACGAAAGCGUGGGUAGCGAACAGG
rnacentral:rRNA from 1 species